CAAUAGCGUAUAUUAAAGUUGUUGCAGUUAAAAAGCUCGUAGUCGGAUUUGUGGCGUACGGUGGGUUCCGGGCACUUGUUGUCUGAGUAACUUGCUGUUGCCAUCCUUGGGUGGAACCUGUGUGGCAUUAGGUUGUCGUGCAGGGGAUGCCCAUCAUUUACUGUGAAAAAAUUAGAGUGUUCAAAGCAGGCUUAUGCCGUUGAAUAUAUUAGCAUGGAAUAAUGAGAUAGGACUUUUUUGCUAUUUUGUUGGUUUGCGCAAAGAGGUAAUGAUUAAUAGGGACAGUUGGGGGUAUUCGUAUUCCAUUGUCAGAGGUGAAAUUCUUGGAUUUUUGGAAGACGAACUACUGCGAAAGCAUUUACCAAGGAUGUUUUCAUUAA
rnacentral:rRNA from 1 species